CGCCUCUUGAAAAAUUAUAAGAGGUCCAGCCUGCCCAGUGAAAUUAUUUAACGGCCGCGGUACCCUGACCGUGCGAAGGUAGCAUAAUCACUUGUUCUCUAAAUAGGGACUAGUAUCAACGGCAUCACGAGGGUUAUACUGUCUCCUCUUUUUAAUCAGUGAAACUGAUCUCCCCAUGAAGAAGCGGGGAUGAUUAUACAAGACGAGAAGACCCCAUGGAGCUUUAAACCCAAUAACAGCCUAUACUAAAUUUUCCUAAAAAUGUAAAAAGCAAUGUUUAUUGGUUUUAGGUUGGGGUGACCACGGAGAAAAAUUAAACCUCCACGAUGAAAGGAUCUUAAUCCUAAUCUACGAGCUACUACUCCAAGAAUCAACAAUUUGACAUAAUAUGAUCCGAUAACGAUCAACGAACCAAGUUACCCUGGGGAUAACAGCGCAAUCCAUUUCAAGAGCCCUUAUCGACAAAUGGGUUUACGACCUCGAUGUUGGAUCAGGGUAUCCUAGUGGUGCAGCCGCUACUAAAGGUUUGUUUGUUCAACAAUUAAAACCCU
rnacentral:rRNA from 1 species